rnacentral:rRNA from 1 species
UACGUAGGGGGCUAGCGUUGUCCGGAAUCAUUGGGCGUAAAGCGCGUGUAGGCGGCCCGGUAAGUCCGCUGUGAAAGUCGGGGGCUCAACCCUCGGAUGCCGGUGGAUACUGUCGGGCUCGAGUACGGAAGAGGCGAGUGGAAUUCCUGGUGUAGCGGUGAAAUGCGCAGAUAUCAGGAGGAACACCGAUUGCGAAGGCAGCUCGCUGGGACGUAACUGACGCUGAGACGCGAAAGCGUGGGGAGCAAACAGG